AUCGAACGCUGGCGGCAUGCCUAACACAUGCAAGUCGAGCGAGCGGCGGACGGUUGAGUAUUGUACGGUGACUGCCUGACAGAUGGUGAUAAUUACUGGAAACGGCUGCUAAUACCGCAUACUAUCGGAUAACCCAUAUGGGAUUAGAUAGCAGGGGAGGUAAUGACUCAUCUAGGCGACGAUCCCUAGCUGGUCUGAGAGGAUGAUCAGCCACACUGGGACUGAGGCACGGCCCAGACUCCUACGGAGGCAGCAGUGGGGAAUAUUGCACAAUGGGCGCAAGCCUGAUGCAGCCAUGCCGCGUGUAUGAAGAAGGCCCUAGGGUUGUAAAGUACUAUCAGUCGGGAGGCGUUACCGACAGAAGAAGCACCGGCUAACUCCGUGCCAGCAGCCGCGGUAAUUC
rnacentral:rRNA from 1 species